AUGCUCACCUGGCAGCUGAGAUACCAUGGUCCAGAAGGUGGUUUUCCCAGGGUGACUCUUAUCAAUCAUAUUCCAGUUAUGCCAAGUUCUGUAACUUCCCCAAACACAAAACAUCUGACUGUAAUUUGUGGUACUGGGAUUUGGGUUCAUGCUCUUCCUUC
rnacentral:snRNA from 1 species